AGAGUUUGAUCAUGGCUCAGGAUGAACGCUGGCGGCGUGCCUAAUACAUGCAAGUCGAGCGGUAACAGGAGAAGCUUGCUUCUCGCUGACGAGCGGCGGACGGCUGAGUAACACGUAGGAACGUACCCCAAAGUGAGGGAUAAGCACCAGAAAUGGUGUCUAAUACCGCAUGUGCUCCAUGGAGUAAAGCUUCGGCGCUUUGGGAACGGCCUGCGUCUGAUUAGCUUGUUGGUGAGGUAAUGGCUCACCAAGGCGACGAUCAGUAGCUGGUCUGAGAGGAUGAUCAGCCAGACUGGGACUGAGACACGGCCCAGACUCCUACGGGAGGCAGCAGUAGGGAAUUUUCCACAAUGGGCGAAAGCCUGAUGGAGCAACGCCGCGUGCAGGAUGAAGGCCUUCGGGUUGUAAACUGCUUUUCUCUGUGACGAUUAUGACGGUAGCAGAGGAAUAAGGAUCGGCUAACUCCGUGCCAGCAGCCGCGGUCAUACGGAGGAUCCAAGCGUUAUCCGGAAUUACUGGGCGUAAAGAGUUGCGUAGGUGGCAGAGUAAGCAGAUAGUGAAAUCGUGUGGCUCAACCAUACACCCAUUAUCUGAACUGCUCAGCUUGAAGACGAGAGAGGUAGAUGGAAUUCCCAGUGUAGGAGUGAAAUCCGUAGAUAUUGGGAGGAACCCGAUGGCGUAGGCAGUCUACUGGCUCGUUCUUGACACUAAGGCACGAAAGCGUGGGGAGCAAACGGGAUUAGAUACCCCAGUAGUCC
rnacentral:rRNA from 1 species